rnacentral:rRNA from 1 species
UACCAGCACCCCGAGUGGUCGGGACAAUUAUUGGGCCUAAAGCAUCCGUAGCCGGUACUGCAAGUCUUCCGUUAAAUCCACCUGCUCAACAGUUGGGCUGCGGAGGAUACUACAGCGCUAGGAGGCGGGAGAGGCAAGCGGUACUCAUUGGGUAGGGGUAAAAUCCACUGAUCCAUUGAAGACCACCAGUGGCGAAGGCGGCUUGCCAGAACGCGCUCGACGGUGAGGGAUGAAAGCUGGGGGAGCAAACCGG